AGAGUUUGAUCCUGGCUCAGGAUGAACGCUGGCUGUGUGCCUAAUACAUGCAUGUUGAACGAAGCAGUAUUUAUAUUGACUUAGUAGCGAAUGGGUGAGUAACACGUACCUAACCUACCUUUAAGAUUGGGAUAACUACUGGAAACAGUUGCUAAUACCAAAUAACAAAUUUUUUCGCAUGAAAAAAUUUUAAAAGAAGCAUAAGAGGUAACUCCGCUUCACUUAAAAAUGGGGGUGCGGAACAUUAGCUAGUUGGUAGAGUAAUGGCCUACCAAGGCGAUGAUGUUUAGCCGGGCCGAGAGGCUGUACGGCCACACUGGGACUGAGAUACGGCCCAGACUCCUACGGGAGGCAGCAGUAGGGAAUUUUCCACAAUGAGCGAAAGCUUGAUGGAGCGACACAGCGUGCAGGAUGAAGGCCUUCGGGUUGUAAACUGCUGUGGUAAGGAAAGAAAAAAUAGGGUAGGAAAUGACCCUUAAUUGACGGUACCUUAUUAGAAAGCGAUGGCUAACUAUGUGCCAGCAGCCGCGGUAAUACAUAGGUCGCAAGCGUUAUCCGGAAUUAUUGGGCGUAAAGAGUUCGUAGGUGGUUUGUUAAGUCUGAAGUUAAAUCCAAAAGCUCAACUUUUGCCCGCUUUAGAUACUAGCAAACUGGAAUUGCAAAGAGGUUAGCGGAAUUCCUAGUGAAGCGGUGGAAUGCGUAGAUAUUAGGAAGAACACCAAUAGGCGAAGGCAGCUAACUGGUUGUAUAUUGACACUGAGGAACGAAAGCGUGGGGAGCAAACAGGAUUAGAUACCCUGGUAGUCCACGCCGUAAACGAUGAUCAUUAGUUGGUAGAAAAAUUUACCGAUGCAGCUAACGCAUUAAAUGAUCCGCCUGAGUAGUAUACUCGCAAGAGUGAAACUUAAAGGAAUUGACGGGGACCCGCACAAGCGGAGGGGCAUGUGGUUUAAUUUGAAGAUACGCGUAGAACCUUACCCACUCUUGACAUCCCUUGCAAAGUUAUAGAGAUAUAAUGGAGGCUAACAAGGUGACAGAUGGUGCAUGGUUGUCGUCAGCUCGUGUCGUGAGAUGUUAGGUUAAGUCCUGCAACGAGCGCAACCCUUGUCUUUAGUUACUAACAUUAAGUUGAGAACUCUAGAGAGACUGCCAACGAAAGUUGGAGGAAGGUGGGGACGACGUCAAAUCAUCAUGCCUCUUACGAGUGGGGCAACACACGUGCUACAAUGGUUGGUACAAAGAGAUGCGACAUAGUGAUAUCAAGCAAAUCUCAAAAAACCAAUCUCAGUUCGGAUUGAAGUCUGCAACUCGACUUCAUGAAGUCGGAUUCGCUAGUAAUCGCAGAUCAGCUAUGCUGCGGUGAAUACGUUCUCGGGUCUUGUACACACCGCCCGUCACACCAUGGGAGUUGGUAAUACCCGAAGAUGGUUAGUUAACCUCGGAGGCAACUAUCUAAGGUAGGACUGAUGACUGGGGUGAAGUCGUAACAAGGUAUCCCUACGAGAACGUGGGGAUGGAUCACCU
rnacentral:rRNA from 1 species